rnacentral:lncRNA from 1 species
UUCUGUACCACCUUAUCGUGCAUCAAAUUCUCGGGGUCGUAGGCGUGGUCGCUAGUCUGGAGCCCGUAUUCAAUGCCAAUUAUGUGGAAAAACUAGAUAUCUAGUUGAUCGAUGCUAUCAUCGGUUUGAUUCAUCUUACAAAAGUUCCAACUACAGGCCUUCUUCGCAAGCAAAUAUGUGCAUGUAUGCACCUGGUCCUUCUCCUUGGACACUAUUUGAUGUGUCAGUUAUGUCACCUGUGGUUCAACCUCCUCC